rnacentral:tRNA from 1 species
GUUUCUGUAGUGUAGUGGUUAUCACUUGCGCCUCACACGCGCAAGGKCGCCGAUUCGAACUCGGCCAGAAACA